UCUGCCUCCAGCUCAUCAUCAUUUCCCUCAUCAUCCAUGCCGCCAUCCGGAGACAGGUCAAGGAGCAGCCCCAUCUGUGACACAGACAGACAGAUAGGAGGAGCGGCUUCAGAGUCCUGCCUGCUUGCGACACGUCAGAGCUGAUUCGCUGAUGGAGUUUGGUGGAACAAGAGCAGAAUUACACCAGCAGUAAACUGUGUACCACGGAUAGAGAACCAGACAUGAAACAUCCCCGACAAACAUCCUGAUGAGAGUGGGGUGGAUUUUACUCAAGGGCAGCUGGAUCCGCUCAGCUCAGCUGAAGAUAAACCACACGUCUGUGACCAGCGUUGGAAAAGCUUCAGUCAUUUAUGCAAUUUUAAUAUUUAUCUGUAUAGCCUGAGUGAAGAAAAACACAAUUCUUGUGAUGAGUGUGAAAAGAGUUUUACCCAGUCAACAAAUCUGAAGACACGGCAUACCCACACAAGAGAGAAACCUUGCAUCUGUCAGUGUGGGAGGCUUUCAGUGACCCAUUAAAUUUAUGACAUAAUAAGAAUUCCUGUUUACGUUGCCCCCAAAGCUACAUCAGCAUUUCCACAAGCACAACAAUCUGAAAAUUUCAGAAGGAUACCUGAAGUCUAUGAAGCAAUAAAAAAGCACUUUGUA